rnacentral:rRNA from 1 species
CCUACGGGUGGCAGCAGUGGGGAAUAUUCGGCAAUGGGCGCAAGCCUGACCCAGCAACGCCGCGUGAAGGAAAAAGGCCCUCCGGUUGUAAACUUCUUUUAACAGGGACGAAGACAGCGACGGUACCUGUUGCCUAAGCCACGGCUAACUACGUGCCAGCAGCCGCGGUAAUACGUAGGUGGCAAGCGUUAUCCGGAUUUACUGGGUGUAAAGGGCGUGUAGGCGGGAGAGAAAGUCAGAUGUGAAAUUUCAGGGCUCAACCCUGGGACUGCGUUUGAAACUGUUCGUCUUGAGGGAUGGAGAGGCAGGCGGAAUUCCGUGUGUAGCGGUGAAAUGCGUAGAUAUACGGAGGAACACCAGUGGCGAAGGCGGCCUGCUGGACAGUAACUGACGCUGAGGCGCGAAAGCGUGGGGAGCAAACAGGAUUAGAUACCCCUGUAGUC